GGACAAGCCCUAGCUCAGUGGUUCCUUCAGCAAGUUUCAGACUUUCAAAUGCCUUACAAGGGUGGCUCGAGAUCCGCGGGUGCUCCCUAAUCCUUUU
rnacentral:vault_RNA from 1 species